rnacentral:misc_RNA from 1 species
GAUGAAGAACGUAGCGAAAUGCGAUAAGUAGUGUGAAUUGCAGAAUUCAGUGAAUCAUCGAAUCUUUGAACGCACAUUGCGCCUCCUGGUAUUCCGGGAGGCAUGCCUGUUCGAGCGUCAUCAAAAACCUCAACCCAUGAUUUAUUGUGAGUUGGUUCUGCAUUGGACUCCUUGUGGGUCCUUUGCGAAAUCCAAUGGCGAAGAGCCACGCAACCAAAGCGUAGUAUAACUAUUUCGUUAUGGAAGCGUGGGUGCCUCUGCCGUAACCCCCAAUUUCUUAGUUUGUGACCUCGGAUCAGGUAGGGAUACCCGCUGAACUUAAGCAUAUCAAUAAGCGGAGGA